UACGUAGGGUGCAAGCGUUAAUCGGAAUUACUGGGCGUAAAGCGUGCGCAGGCGGCUUGGCAAGUCGGGUGUGAAAUCCCGGGGCUCAACCCCGUGACUGCAUCCGAUACUGUCAGGCUAGAGGUAGGUAGGGGAGAUCGGAAUUCCUGGUGUAGCGGUGAAAUGCGCAGAUAUCAGGAGGAACACCGGUGGCGAAGGCGGAUCGCUGGGCCGGUCCUGACACUGAGGCGCGAAGGCGUGGGGAGCGAACGGG
rnacentral:rRNA from 1 species